CACGUAGGGCGCAAGCGUUUGUCCGGAAUUAUUGGGCGUAAAGAGCUCGUAGGCGGUCUGUUGCGUCCGCUGUGAAAACUCGGGGCUUAACCCCGAGCCUGCAGUGGAUACGGGCAGACUAGAGGUAGGUAGGGGAGAAUGGAAUUCCCGGUGUAGCGGUGAAAUGCGCAGAUAUCGGGAGGAACACCGGUGGCGAAGGCGGUUCUCUGGGCCUUACCCUGACGCUGAGGAGCGAAAGCGUGGGGAGCGAACAGG
rnacentral:rRNA from 1 species